UACAGAGGGGGCGAGCGUUGUUCGGAAUUACUGGGCGUAAAGCGCACGUAGGCGGCUUGGUAUGUCGGGUGUGAAAUCCCCGGGCUCAACCUGGGAACUGCAUCCGAAACUGCCUUGCUCGAGUAUGGGAGAGGGAUGCGGAAUUCCAGGUGUAGCGGUGAAAUGCGUAGAUAUCGGGAGGAACACCUAUGGCGAAGGCAGCUCGCUGGGACGUUACUGACGCUGAGACGCGAAAGCGUGGGGAGCAAACAGG
rnacentral:rRNA from 1 species